GACGAACGCUGGCGGCGUGCUUAACACAUGCAAGUCGAACGGAAAGGCCCUGCUUUUGUGGGGUGCUCGAGUGGCGAACGGGUGAGUAACACGUGAGUAACCUGCCCUUGACUUUGGGAUAACUUCAGGGAACUGGGGCUAAUACCGGAUAGGAGCUCCUGCUGCGUGGGGGGCGUUGGAAAGUUUCGGCGGUUGUGGAUGGACUCGCGGCUUACGAGCUUGUUGGGGGGGUAGUGGCUGACCACGCUUUUGACGGGUAGCCGGCCUGAGAGGGUGACCGGCGACAUUGCGACUGAGAGACGCACCAGACUGCAACGGGCGGCAGCAGUGGAGAAUAUUGCACAAUGGGCGGAAGCCUGAUACAGCAACGCCGCGUGCGGGAUGACGGCUUUCGGGUUGUAAACCGCUUUCGCCUGAGACGAAGCGGGCGUGACGGUAACGGGUAAAGAAGCACCGGCUAACUACGUG
rnacentral:rRNA from 1 species